GAUGAACGCUAGCUACAGGCUUAACACAUGCAAGUCGAGGGGUAGCAGGGUAGCAAUACCGCUGACGACCGGCGCACGGGUGAGUAACACGUAUCCAACCUUCCCAUAACUCGGGGAUAGCCUUUCGAAAGAAAGAUUAAUACCCGAUAGUACUUUUUCAAGGCAUCUUGAGAAAGUUAAAGAUUUAUUGGUUAUGGAUGGGGAUGCGUUCCAUUAGAUAGUUGGUGAGGUAACGGCUCACCAAGUCUUCGAUGGAUAGGGGUUCUGAGAGGAAGGUCCCCCACAUUGGUACUGAGACACGGACCAAACUCCUACGGGAGGCAGCAGUGAGGAAUAUUGGUCAAUGGGCGAGAGCCUGAACCAGUCAAGUAGCGUGAAGGAUGAAGGUCCUAUGGAUUGUAAACUUCUUUUAUAGUAGAAUAAAGUGAUCCACGUGUGGAUUUUUGUAUGUAUACUAUGAAUAAGGAUCGGCUAUCUCCGUGCCAGCCGCCGCAGUAA
rnacentral:rRNA from 1 species